CCUCAAAUAAAGAAAAUUGGACCAGGAUGUGCAGAGGUGUUAACGAGCUAAUCAUCCCGUUUGUUAGCAUAUGAAAAACGAGGAAAUGGGAGAGUGUGGGUGAAUGUGAACAAGCUAUUCACAACACUGAAGCUGCCUCUGAAUGAACUCCAAAGGUCCCGAAGAGAGAUUGGUGAAGGUGACAAGAUCACCAGGAAAGGGUCACCCACUGACAACGGUCCCAAGCAGUAUUAACCGAGGAGUCUGGAAUUUGAACAGAUGAAUUCCAGCCCAGAAAGCACGGUUCGCAUGGUACAGUUUGCCUUCUGAGACUAAAACAAACACAGCCAUUCGCUAAUAGGAGUUGUGGUUUAUAUUUACGUCUUGGUUUAUUCCGUUGCGUUCGAGUCCAAAUUCAAGCGUUGUUCAAAUAAUUUACUGCCCUCUGGGCUGCUCCUAAAAUGUAGUCCUAUCAAUUAUCUUGCUCGAUAAUAUUUUUACAAAUAAAUACAUGUAGCGGUGUAAUUAAGCGUUCUUUGAAAAUUGUUACUGUUUGGACAAUUCACGCUAUUUCUGCAAUCAUUUAAAAAAAUAAAGACAACCUUCGAACACCCUUUAAUUAUAACAACAAAAAGGAAAUGACAUUUGUUUUAAGCAUGAUGUGCAUAUUCAACUUUCAUCCGUUAUCUGUAUUCUGUGUUACUUCAACUUGAAAUAAAUAGCUCAGCGAAUUCAGAACAA